rnacentral:rRNA from 1 species
GUGGGGAAUAUUGGACAAUGGGGGGAACCCUGAUCCAGCGAUGCCGCGUGAGUGAAGAAGGCCUUCGGGUUGUAAAGCUCUUUAGGUUGGGAAGAAGUCUUGCCUGCGAAUAGUGGGUAAGAUUGACGGUACUAACAGAAUAAGCACCGGCAAACUCUGUGCCAGCAGCCGCGGUAAUACAGAGGGUGCGAGCGUUAAUCGGAAUGACUGGGCGUAAAGGGCGCGUAGGCGGAUUAGAAAGAGAUAUGUGAAAGCCCUGGGCUUAACCUAGGAAGUGCAUGUUUAACUAAUAAUCUGGAGUAUGAGAGAGGGUGAUAGAAUUUCCGGUGUAGCAGUGAAAUGCGUAGAUAUCGGAAAGAAUGUCGGUGGCGAAGGCGAUCACCUGGCUCAAUACUGACGCUGAGGCGCGAAAGCGUGGGGAGCAAACAGGAUUAGAUACCCGUGUAGUCC